rnacentral:tRNA from 1 species
UCCCUGGUGGCUCAGAGGGUAAAGCAUCUGCCUACAAUGCAGGAGACCCGGGUUUGAUCCCUGGGUCGGGAA